CACAGUGGAAACCGGGACGAUAAUUAGGAGGUCUUUGCAAUAAUCCAGGUGAGAGCUUUACAAUGUGUGUCAAACAUGGGGACUGCUAACUCUUGGGCCGGGAUGAGAAUUAGCUGUGAACCUCUAAGGGACUAGCAUCAUAGCUGAUUAGUCAUUCUUUUCCUUGUGUCCUCAGGUAUGUGCUUGGCACUAUAUUCAAGAAAUGCUCACUGCAUAAUGUCUGUUACUGGAAGUUGGAGAAUAAUAUGGCCAACGUCCCAACCUGCUUGACUUUCAGGCCACAGGUCUCAACUCUCUGCUGGUAUCUGUCUAAAUGUGGACCCUUCUCCUGAAGAAAAUGCCCCACAGAGUUGUCUUAUUUUCUGUUCUCCUGGACUUUUCAUAAACACUGCUUCUGAUAUGCCUUUCCUAUGGACAGCAUUCUACCCUUUUAAAACCAGGAUAAUACAGCACCAGCAGACUACACUGAAGAGUUUCCUGUGAUGAUUGUUCAGGACACCAACAGCCCUUGCACAGAUGUCAUUGUUGCUAUCGUGGUAAGUUGAUACUUGGCUUAUAGGAAAAUGUGCUGGUUGGUUGUAUUGUCUUUCUCACACACCUGAAUCCACUUUAUUUACUAACCGCACAUUUUUCUGUGUGAAAUACUCCAGGAUUUAUAAUUCCUCCAAAACACAAAAUACAACAAUUGUAAUUUAAUUAUUCCCAAGCAUUAACUUUACUCUUUAAACAUCUUUUCAUAUCAUACAUGAUUUCAAAUUUAAAUAACCUAAAGAGGAAGAAAAUUUCU
rnacentral:lncRNA from 1 species